AUUGAACGCUGGCGGCAUGCCUUACACAUGCAAGUCGAACGGUAACAGGUCUUCGGAUGCUGACGGUGGGCGAAGGGGGGGGAAAUACAUCGGACCGUGCCCGACGGUGGGGGAUAACGGGGGGAAAGCUUGGUUAAUACCGAAUACAAUUGACGGAUGAAAGCAGGGGCCCGCAAGGCCUGGCCCAAAGGGACGGGCGGAUGGCAGAUUAGGGAGUUGGUGGGAUAAAAGCUUACCAAGCCGACGAUCUGUAGCUGGUCUGAGAGGACGACCAGCCACACUGGGACUGAGACACGGCCCAGACUCCUACGGGAGGCAGCAGUGGGGAAUUUUGGACAAUGGGCGCAAGCCUGAUCCAGCAAUGCCGCGUGCAGGAUGAAGGCCUUCGGGUUGUAAACUGCUUUUGUACGGAACGAAAAGGCUCUGGUUAAUACCUGGGGCUCAUGACGGUACCGUAAGAAUAAGCACCGGCUAACUACGUGCCAGCCGCCGCCGUAACAC
rnacentral:rRNA from 1 species